rnacentral:rRNA from 1 species
CCUACGGGUGGCAGCAGUAGGGAAUAUUGCUCAAUGGGGGAAACCCUGAAGCAGCAACGCCGCGUGGAGGAUGAAGGUUUUCGGAUUGGAAACUCCUUGUGAUAGAGAAGAGAAUGACGGUAUCUAACGAAUAAGCACCGGCUAACGCCGUGCCAGCAGCCGCGGUAAUACGGAGGGUGCAAGCGUUACUCGGAAUCACUGGGCGUAAAGGGCGCGUAGGCGGGAUAGCAAGUCAGAUGUGAAAUCCUCUGGCUUAACCCUAGAACUGCAUUUGAAACUGUUAUUCUAGAGUAUGGGAGAGGUAGGUGGAAUUCUUGGUGUAGUGGUGAAAUCCGUAGAGAUCACGAGGAAUACUCAUUGCGAAGGCGGCCUGCUAGAACAUAACUGACGCUGAUGCGCGAAAGCGUGGGGAGCAAACAGGAUUAGAUACCCGAGUAGUC